ensembl:lncRNA
GAAAUUUGUGGACUACUCUUUAAAGCUGGGUCUGUGCCAGAAAGCCAGCCAGUUUAAAUAAACUUUACAAAUUAUGCCAAGAAGAGCUGGUCUAAUAUCUAGCCAGAGUUAUGCCACAACCUUGGUGAUAUCUAUCAAAGAUCGGGUUGGGCUAAGUAAUUUUAAUCAAAUAUUAGUGAGGGUAUAUAUUUGUUUUUUAUGCUUUGUGGAUGAGAGAAACUCCAAAAUAAAUCCAAACCAAUUCUUGUUUUUUUGUUUUUAAAAUAAUUAAUGUACAAUCGUUCCACCCUAGAAAUCAUUUAACGCCCCAAAUUACUAUGACAUUCAUUCUAAUUAAAAGUAUAUGGAAACUUCUGACCACAACUAGCAAACAAAGUUUUUUCUGUGAUGAACACCUGAACAAGUGCAUUUUUAAAAUAGACUUUAGCAAACAAAUUAUUAACUAUACAUAUUGCAUAUUAUUACUCUACCACACCACCACAUGCAGUUUCAUUGAAUCUCUCCUUGAUUAGCAGUUCUUGUUUUUUUUUUUUUAUCUGUGACCACUGGUGAGUUAUUUAUUUCCACAUCCUGAUAUCUUACAACUAGACUGUUCAGCACCAGAAGGAUAAACUGAGUCAGUGUUCAUUUCUAUCUUUAUCGAAAAUUCUACCUCUAUUGUACCUUCAGCAAAUUUUUGUGAACAGUGCUCUUCAUCUUAUGGAUCGGGAACCUUGAGGCUGCCACCCCCGUCUUCAUUUCCAGCUGUUCUUGGAGUCUGAAGUCUUUUUUCUCCCAUGUCUUUGGCGAGAACAGAAGAUGCUUUUUUUGUUUGUAGUUUUAUAAACAAGCAUGUGUUUUUCUAUUUGUUGGUCCAGGUGUCCUUGUCCUUAGGUUAACUUAAUGUAAUUAAUGUAAUGUAAACGUGAUUACAUGUUGCUUUGACUGAUGUGCCCUUCCUAUACUUUCGCCCACACUUGUCUCAGUGCAUUAAGUUUCAAAUGACACUUACUCACACAUCCACUCGACAGCAUCUUUACACCUACACAUGCGCACAUGUCAUUAGCAGUGCUUAUAAUUAGUACACAGGCAGGUUUGUGGAGAGUAGAGAGCUUCAAAGACGUUAUUUUCCUCUUUGAUAAUCACUGGUCUUCCAUUUAUUCCUGUGAUGGGAAGACAUGAAAGAAUAGAUGAAGGUGGAGCCCCAAAGCAUUUUUCAGCAUCAUCAUCAUCAUCAGAUUCAUGUUGCUUUCUGCUUCUAAGUUUUCAGUUCCUCUAUGCAAUCAAUCUCCAAUAUAACA